rnacentral:rRNA from 1 species
AUUGAACGCUGGCGGCAGGCCUAACACAUGCAAGUCGAGCGAGCGGCGGACGGGUGAGUAAUGUCUGGGAAACUGCCUGAUUGAGGGGGAUAACUAAUGGAAACGGUAGCUAAUACCGCAUACCAUCAGAUGUGCCCAGAUGGGAUUAUCUAGUAGGUGGGGUAAUGGCUCACCUAGGCGACGAUCCCUAGCUGGUCUGAGAGGAUGACCAGCCAAACUGGAACUGAGACACGCCCCAGACUCCGACGGGAGCAGGCAGAGGGGAAUAUUGGACAAUGGGCGAAAGCCUGAUGCAGCCAUGCCGCGUGUGGGAGGAAGGCCUUGGGGUUGUAAAGCCCUUUCAGCGGGGAGGCGUUACCCGCACAGGAAGCACCGGCUAACUCCGUGCCAGCCGCCGCGGUAAUAC